CCAUCCCGAUACGGCCCAAAACAAGAAGUGCCGACAGAACGAUCCAUCGAGCCCGGAAAAGGGAAAAAAAAAAAUCCAAGAAAGCGAUGGAAGGUGGCCAGCCUGACGCGACCGGCGGCGGUAGCGGAGGGGGCGGCGCCGGCGGCGGCCCUGCUCCUUUCCUUCUGAAGACCUACGACAUGGUGGACGACUCGUCCACCGACGACAUCGUCUCCUGGAGCCCCGCCAAGAACAGCUUCAUCGUCUGGAAUCACCCCGACUUCGCUGCUCGCCUCCUCCCCACCUACUUCAAGCACAAUAACUUCUCCAGCUUCAUCCGACAGCUCAAUACCUACGGUUUUCGGAAGAUCGAUCCAGAGAGGUGGGAGUUCGCGAACGAGGACUUCGUCAAGGGGCAGAAACAUUUGCUCAAGAACAUCCACCGCCGCAAGCCCAUCCACAGCCACAGUCACCCGCCGGGCUCACUCGCCUACUCCGAGCGGGCUGCGCUGGAGGAGGAGAUCGAGAGGCUCGCGCGGGAGAAGGCCGCCCUCCAGGCCGACCUGUGGCGGUUCAGGCAGCAGCAGCCCGGGACCAAGAUCCAGCUCGACGACCUCGAGCGUCGCUUGGCCGAGAUGGAGCAGCGGCAGCACAAGAUGAUUGCUUUCUUGCAGAGGGCCUUGCAGAACCCCCGGUUCGUGGAGAAUCUUCGGAAGAUGGCAGUGUCUUCGUCAGUGGAUUUCUCGGCGAUCCAUAAGAAGAGGCGAUUGCCGGAGAUGGAGUCUUGCCAAGAGGCCCCAGAAAAUAGCUUUUAUGAUGAUCAUAGCAGCACUUCAAAAUCCGACGUCGGGCAUGGAUUCCACAUGGAUUUUUGUGAUAAGCUGAAAUUGGAGCUGUGCCCGGCUAUUUCGGAUAAUUUGGUCGCUGCGAGCACUCAGAGUUCCAAUGAGGAUAACGGGAGCCCGCACAUGAAGCAACCUGAGUGCGGUGUUGGAAGAAUGGAAAACCUUCCUUUGUCACCACUGCCGCUAGAUCUUUCGGAUACCGGGGCAUCUAUAUGUCCAACGAAGAAUUUGUUACUUCCAAGAGCAAUUGAUGAAGGGGAUGGGCACUUUUCAUGCCAUUUGAAUCUCACUCUUGCUUCAUCUUCAAUGCAAAUAGACAGUAAUCAGCAUUCAAGUAGAACUUCAAACUCAGUCGAUCAUGGUGUUGCCAAUGCCAGCGAGUUAGGGGCAUCUAACAUACAUAAGGAUGACAAUCUUGGUAAAGCUGUUGGGAAUAUCCAAAGUACUUCCCUUGAUGCAAAAGCUACCUCUCUGCAAGAGAUCACUCCAAGUAGCAAUCAAGAACCUGCAGCUCAUGAAGGAAGAGCGAAUGAUGUGUUCUGGGAGCAAUUCCUAACCGAAAGGCCAGGUUCUUCAGACACUGAAGAGGCGAGCUCGAGUUUCAGGGCAAAUCCUGGUGAUGAGCAACUGGAAGAGAGGAAGCAAGUCAACGAGAACAUAUGGAGAAACAGAAAAGAUAUGGAGCAGCUUACUCUCUGAGUUGCUCAUACAACAGUCUCUUCUUUGGUUCAGUACCAUGAGAUACAUAUGGAGGGAGUUCCAACUGUUCAAAUCUGUGAAUCAAUCAGGUCCAGUGGAUUCACUGUACUCUCAAGAAAGGAGAUCCUAAGUUUUACAAGGAUACAAUUUGCCAUGUAGGACUAGGAAGCAAGGAAGGCCGAAGAUGAACACCAUGAAAGCUGAGUGAGAACGUGCCUGCGAUCAUGAGAGGUCAUCAAAGUAGGUGAAUGCCGGUGGCUGCAAAGGUAAAAACCUUUUCUUUUUUUUUUAAUGUUUCCCUCUACUUAAAUUCUAAUGAUCUGAGAAAUUUGGGGAAGACACAAGAGAAGAGGGCCUUGAAGGCUACCGGGGCCUCUUUUACAUAGCUCUAGCUUCGAUUAAUUUAGAGAUGCAGAUAUGCUUUUGUAAUUGCAUUAUUCGAUACUUAUCUUUAAGGCAAAAAUAUGAUAUAUCAAAGCAAAAAAAUAUUUUUUUGAUCUGUAUUACAUAGUUUGCUUAUUCAGUCAUGAAUUAUAAAUUACUUUUGAUUGUAUAUAUA